UGGGAUAAGUUAAUUGAAACCUCAGGCCAUACUGAAGCCCAAGCUACUUGAAGCCUCUUGCAUAAUCGGUUGCGGUCAGACUAAGUUAAUUGAAACCUCUGGCAUAACUGAAGUCUAAGAUACUUGAAGCCUCUAGCAUAAUCGGUUGUGGUCAGGCUAAGUCAGGUGAAACCUCUGGCCUAAUUGAAAACUAAAUAUAAAUGCACCUUUGACAUCUCAGCCAAGUUAACAUACCUAUGAUACGGUCAAUUUGACAUACCUCUGACUUUAAAUGAUUUAAUUAAACUUAUCACUAAACAAAUAUCUGACAUGAUAUACCUGGGGUUAAGCCAGUAUGUGUUCAAGAUUAACGAGACCCCUCAAAUCAUUAAGGCCCGACUUGUUGGGGCUUUAAACCUAUAUUGAACAAACUUCAGCUAAAAGAUAAGAUGACUCGCUUGGAGUCAGCCAUAUUAUCUGAUUUUCAUUCAAACAAAUCAGUUGUUAUUGCCGCUACGCGAAAACUGACCAACAAUGUCAACUGACACAGAGUCACCACCGGAUGUUAUUUAUUCCUAUAUAAAGAGAAAAGGGAAAAUAGUCGAUAAAACCCUCUAGAGAAAAGAAUAUGGAAAUGAUUGGUCUCGCAACCAAAUUUAGGGUUUGGAAGUCGGUUAUGCGAAAGGACAGUAUUAACACCUCUCACAUUCAUCGUACUCGAUGAGAACCGUCUAAGUUGUCUAUGUGUGUGGGUGUUUAUAUUAAUGCUUAUUUGUUAUCAGGAAAUAAAUGGGGAAAUGAUUGGUUUUUUAUUAUUGUGCUCGCCAAGGAUUGGGGCCCUUGUGUCUAUGUAUCAUCAUCGGGGGAUGAAGAAUCAGAGCUUUGUAGUUCGAAGUAGAAAAUGUUUGUGUGUUGGUUGUUUUUACCUUGAAAAGGGGUUUUCGGAGUGAUGCCCUAAGGUGAAAAAAUAAGUUUUGAUGAGUUGAUGUUUUUUUUAUGGUUUGAAAAAAAGAGAUGGUUUUUUAUUAGAAUUGCACUAAAGGCUAUGGGUAGAGGUGAAUAUUUCAGACAAACAAGUCAAGCGUCUAGUGUCCAAAAUAUUCAGAGUGAAAGCUCCACUCUUACUCAUUCUCCACCACUUAAGGCUCAUGACGCACAAUUCUAAUCGUAUUUUUUUAUUGUAUUUUGAAUUUGAUUAAGAAAAUACCGAUUGACGUUGGAUCAAUGGUUUAUUGCUUAUUUAUUUUUAAAUGGUGAGAUACAUGGAUAUUUACAGGGAAACAAAUGCGAGAAAUGAAUGUGUCUCAUUGUAAGAUAGCCCAAGAGAAAGCUUUGUAUAUGCAAAGUGACCUAUGUUAACAAGUGGAAAAUGGGAUUAAGAGCAUGUCUCCCUAUGGUAGUUCCAUGAAUGUUAUUCUUACAAUAAAAGAUUAUAAGUCACAUAUGAAAUUCCAAGUUAGAGCAAUGGAUCAAGAAUCACAACAAAGUCCAAGUGAUGGGUCCUAAUGAAUCCUUUAAGUUCACAGUGGGUCACAAAUGAAUCCAGUUUUUGGUCUUGUGAUUUUAUCAUAUUUUUGUUCUUUUUGAUUAUGCAAUGAUAGUAAACAAAUGACAAUAAUAUAAAUAUGUAUGAUGUAUAUUCAAUGAUGAUGAGGAUACGCAUAAAGUGCUUGUAAAUAAAUAGUAAGAAAGUAAAUUACAAGAGAAUAAAUUAAGUCAACAAGUCAAUGGUUAGUGAUAGUAGUUAGUGGAUAGAAGUAAAAUUGCACAAGGUAACCACCUAGGGGUUAUCUAUCAACAAAUCAAAGGAUUCAAAAUAUGGCGCAUCAAGGGAUAAUCUAUCAUUGAUGAAAAUUAUUAAAGAUUAGCCAUGAUCAUCUAUCAAUAGAUUUGGAUUAAAGAAGGUUGAAACAUACUCAAGUCCAUCUAUCAAUGAUUUGAAGUGUGGAAGAUUUUAUCACCCAGGUAAUCACAAGUUAAACAUCCAAAUCCAAAUGAUUAGUUAUUAGUGAGCAAUGGAAACAAUGCAACACAAAGAAAUCAGAAAGAAAAGCUAAAGUAACUGAAGGUCUCAUCUAAACAUCAAGAGGUUCAAACAUGAUCAACUAAGGGCAAUCUAUCAAUACCUAAAAGUGUCAAUAAUGAUCCAUUAUUCAUUCAUCAACAUAUUUGAAGUAUUGAAGAUUUAAUCACCGCUAGGAUCAAUUACCAAUGAUCCAAAGAUUGUUAUCAACCAAUUAUCAGCAGUAAGGGUAAAAUGGUCUACAUAAAAAUGAUGAUAAUAAUAAUAAGAAGAAAC
rnacentral:lncRNA from 1 species